rnacentral:tRNA from 2 species
GAGAGAUAACACAAGAACUGCUAAUUCCUGUACCUGAGACUAAACCCUCAGAUCUCUCA